rnacentral:rRNA from 1 species
CCUACGGGAGGCAGCAGUGAGGAAUAUUGGUCAAUGGACGAGAGUCUGAACCAGCCAAGUAGCGUGAAGGAUGACUGCCCUAUGGGUUGUAAACUUCUUUUAUAAAGGAAUAAAACGAGGCACGUGUGCCUUUUUGCAUGUACUUUAUGAAUAAGGAUCGGCUAACUCCGGUCCAGCAGCCGCGGUAAUACGGAGGAUCCGAGCUUUAUCCGGAUUUAUUUGGUUUAAAGGGAGCGGAGAUGGGUUGUUAAGUCAGUUGUGAAAGUUUGCGGCUCAACCGUAAAAUUGCAAUUGAUACUGGCAGUCUUGAGUACAGUUGAGGUAGGCGGAAUGCGUGGUGUAGCGGUGAAAUGCUUAGAUAUCACGAAGAACCCCGAUUGCGAAGGCAGCUUACUAACCUGUGACUGACAUUGAUGCUCGAAAGUGUGGGUAUCAAACAGGAUUAGAUACCCGUGUAGUC